UGCCGCUGCAUUGCAGAAAGAGUUGGGGAGGGUUUAGUGCUGGACGCGUGCCCGUUGGCUGUAAAACAAAGCGAAAACGGUUCUCGGGUGGGAGAGAUAAAGGGAGAAGUGAAACGGACUAUAUGCAGUGGACACAGGAGCAGCAGGACCCGAAUAUGGGGAAGGAGAAAGAGCCAGAAGUCUGAAACCGAAGAAGACAAAGGAAACUAGGAGGAAAACGACGGAGGCCUGGAUCAGAGGGCAGUGCAUAGAAUAGGAACGUGGGCUCGAAUGCCUGCUGGGUCACUGCCCAGGGCCAAGUCUACAAGUUUAAUAAAGCACCUACAACCUGCCAGACAUUGUGCUAAGUGCAGGAAAUACAAAGAAAGGCAAAAGGCGGUCCCUGAUUUUAAGGAUCUCACAGUCUGAUGUCCCCAUCAGACAAUAUUAAUGUUGAAUUGAAUGUGGACAAAACUCAGAACUCUCUAGUUCAAGAGAUCUUCCAAUCUUGGCCUCUCUUGUAGCCAGGAUUACACCUGAGAAAGGCUUCUUACAGAAAGUGAAAUUUUAUCUGAGACUUGAAGAAAAUAAGGAGGAAGAGUUGACAAUAAAGAGAAUUCUAAACAUUGGGGCAACCCAAUGAAAAUUCACAGGCAAUGGAGUGUCUUGUUCAAGGAAUGGCAAAGCUAAUGUCACUGGAUCACUGAUAUGUGAAGGGGAAUUAAUAUGGUGAAAUUGAUGAGAUUUUGACCCAAUAAUACCACUACUAGGUCUGUAUCCCAAAGAGAUCACAGAAAAA